rnacentral:lncRNA from 1 species
AUGGAUCCAUCGAUCAGGAGCAUUUAGAAAUUAAUUUCUAAUGACACAUGCCUCAAAUUCUCAACUCCUUUGAGAAUAUGUAUUAUCAUCUAUUAAUUUCUUGGACGAUUAAUUCGUGCAUGCUUAUAAGAUCAAAUCUAGAAAUCAGCAUUAUAAGAACACAUAGGAUUAUGCUGGAAUCGUUUAAACCAUUAUACUCAAAAAUUUAUGCAUAAUUAACUAUCAGAUCUGAAAGGUAAAUACUCUAUUCCAAUUAAUCUCCGAAUAUCUAUCGAAUAGAUUCUGGAGAUAACUCCGUGAGGAGCCCCAAAGGAGGGUAAAAUCUCGGGAAAUCGGACCUAGACCUUGACUCCAAAAUAAAAGAUUAAUAUAGAAUUAAUAUCUUUUAUGAUGGAUCUGAUCCUUGACUUCGCAGCCACGCUCACAAAUGGCCUCUACGAGCAGUACACACGAAGCCCUAGGUAGAUCGUCUUCCGCGGGAGUGCUAGCUCGCGCAGGAAUGCUGCAAUGGUUGAAGCUUUCUCCUUCUAAACACUCAACCUUUGAUUGUUCUUGAAGGAGAUGGAGGAUGGACAUGAGGAAGAAGGAGAAGAAGUGAUGGAGGCCCUCAGAAAAUUUUUUCAGAAUUUUUUGAAAUCUCUAAAUAUUAUAUCUUUUGAACCCAAGGCUUGGGGGUCUUUUAUAGCCAAAAGAUCCCCCCAUGCCUCAGACCUAAUUUUGCUAACUAAUUUGGCUGAUAAAAUCCCCAAAAAAAUUUUAUGAUUUGGUAGCUAAGAGAAGAUAAACAUAUCCAAAUUUUGUACAUUUUGGAUCCCUAAAAGAUAGGAAUUCAAGUGUCCAAAGUUCAGCCGCAGACCACCCUAUUUCAUGCACCAUGCAAUCCCUACAAAUUAAGAAAUUCAUCUAAAUCUUUUUAGAAAGAUUUGAGGCGCCAUUUUUAUAGAAAAUAUAGCCCCACAUCUUCUCUCUUCUCAUGCCAAUUUUUGGUCAAAAAUAAAGAGGAUAGGCAUGGAAAAUAGUGAGGAUAAAUCAAGGUGUCAUUCUUCUCCAAGAAGAUAAGGAUAGGUUCCUAAAAUUUAGGGAUUCUUUUUCUUAUCCAAUUCUGAUUAUUUGGACUCAUAAUCCUCAUCAAAUAAGAUCUUCUAAUUGAUUUGGAUCAAGUCCAAUCUAAUUGGGUCAAGUCUCAUCAAUUGGGUCAAGCUCAAUCUACUUGGGUUGAACCCAAUCCAAUUAGGUCAAAUCCUGAUGCAGCCCAAAUUGAAUCCUAUUCAAUUUGGCUCAACCUAAGCCCAAUUACUCAAUCAAAUUGAGUUCAUUAGCAAUCUAAUUGCUAAUUAAUCCUCUAAUAAUUCAAUAAUUACUUUAAUGCAACUUUUGCUUAGGAUAACUUGUCAAUCGAAUUGACCAAAUUAUCCCUGAAUGAUUUUUAAUCAUUAAUCAGCCAUUUGAUCAACCUAGAAAGUUCUAUGCGUGUGACCUCAUAGGUUCGAACCUAAGCCGGUAGUAUAGGAACGUCUUUCUAUACUAAUCGAUGUGACCAUCUAGCAAUGGUACUUGACGUCCGGAUGAAAGAGUAGAUGCCCUAUAAGCCAAUCAUUUGAUGGGUUUCUCUUUGUAAUCCUCCAAAUCAUAUACUUUGACACUCGAUAUAUAUCAAUAAAGGCAUUGUAUUUCAUCAUUUGCUGCUUAUCUGUUUUAUUAUUGGAUGAUGAACCCUAUAAAUUAGGAUAUUGGUUUUAGGGUUAUGAUGAGAUCAUACCAGUGAGACCUAAAAUCCUAAAAUCCUAAUUUAGAAUAUUUCCAGUCAAAUUGGUAUAUUGAGUCGGGGAUCAAUUACUAGAAAGACUGGCACAUCUUAUGUAUGCUCAAUGUAGAGGGUGAUUGAUCUCACAAUCACUUGUGUGAGACACUAAUACAAAGAUGUGGAUGCUCAUUAGAGGAAUGAGUUUACUGAAAUGACCAGCCAUGAGAACAUCUUAUGGAUUCUUACUUAAUUGUCAAAAGAUGGUUCUCAUAGUGGGAGUUGUGCAAGUGAUCUUUAGACCUGAGAUCACCAUGGCACCUUGUGCACUUGAACCUAUAUUUUGGUUUACCCUCAUUCACGACAUUGCGUUGUGUACGGGGUAUUCUGGAUAUGGUGGAUUUUGUACGAAGGUUGUGAGUAGGUCAACAAAGAAUCAGUCACUCCUAGUAAGAGAAGGUAACAUCCUACUUACUCAAAUCUUAUGAUGAUUCAAGAAGCCUUUGAUCAAAGCAAAAUAAAAAUUAGAAAGAGUUUCUAAUGUUUCAUUGUUUGAAUUAUCAUAUAAAAGAUUGAGAGAGACAUGAAUAAGUGAUUGAGUUUGAUAUUGAUCCAUACUCAUGCACUUAUUCAGGAUGUAGUAUGACUGAGGGAUUGAAUUGCACGGUAACUUGCCACUGAAGGAUAUGUUUGGAUUUGUCCAAUACAUUCCUCAUCUUCCAGAUAGACAUGAUACAUUGCUAGACGUCAAUCUUGUCUUGUGGGUUGAUUAGAUCAAAGAGUUUGAUUAGAUCAAAGCAUCAGAAAGGUUCUGAUUGCUAAGUCAGGUUUAGCACUAAAUUGAACCUAAAUUGGAUUAGAGGUAUUCUAAUCAAGUUAGGUCAACUUGUACCUACACCUACUGCUGGCUAAGAUAAGGAACCUAAUGGAUCACACGCAAGAAAAUUGAUCAAGGGUCUAAUUGGAUUAGAUCAUGUUUGCAAGAUGAACAUGCUAGCACGUGUUGCAAUCCCUAGCUCCUGAUUCAAAUUAAAUUCGAAUCUGAUUCUUAGAUUAGGUUGAUCUAAUAUGAUUAGAUCAUGACCUAAUAUGGGUUAGCCCAGAGUUGGAACCCAUUUGGCUUUAAUUAGACAUGAUUUGAUUAGGUUUAAUAUUUCCUUUAAGUUGGUUAAACCCAAUUGGAUUGGGUUUGAUAGGGCCUUCACUUCUGGACCAUUGGAUCGCUCCCUGGAUGAAGGAUCUGGUCCAUUGAUCAGCACCUGAAUCUGAAUCACUGGAUGGCUCUCUGGAUGAAAGAUCUGGACCAUUGGUCAGCACUUGAAUCUGGACCACUAGAUGGCUCUCUGGAUGAAAGAUCUGGACUGUUGCUCAGCGUCUAAAUCUGGUCCAUCGGUGAUGGCAUCUUGCUUCUGGACCAUUGGAUGGCAUCCUGGAUGAUGAUGCUUUAAUCUGGACCAUUGGCUUUGGUUCACUGCAUUUGGGCCCUUGGAUCAUUAGGAUUUAAGAGGGAGACGUGAGAAAGAAGUUGAUACACCCUUCUCCUUAACACCCAUACAUGACGAGAUGUCUCUCUUGGCACAUGCCUCAUCAUGAUAAGGUGUGUGGAUGGGAUGCAUCCCUUUAUGAUGCAUCCCUCCAUCUCUUAUAAAUAAGGAGGCGCCCUGGGAUUCUAAAGAUCAUCCAAGAAAAAGCCUCUUCUUCUCUCUUCCUUAUCCCUUCUUUUUUACAAGCCUCUCUCUUUUGUCCUAACCCAAGACAAGAAGGUCUUCUUUAGGACAAAAAGGCUAGUGAAUGUUUUAGAGGUAGAAAGGAAGAAGGAAGUGAAGGAAAAUCAGCCCAUUAAAUCCUUUGGAAGGCUUGAACAACUAUAAUCAAGUUUUGGAGGAGCUAGAGUCUUGAACCCAUUCCUGUGUGGAUCAACAUUGGAGGGUGAACAUUUGGGCACCUUAGGACAUCUUCAGACAUAUUGGAUAUAGCAUGAUAAGUAUUCUUUUAUACCAAGAUUAUAUUUUCUACAUUAUUUGGUUAUACUAUUAAGAUGAUCUUGGCUUAUUAGGGUUUCAUAUAAUGGGUUUUAUAAGAAAAUUUUAUAAUCCCGUAUCUUCUGAUGCGCCCUAGGGCACUGGGAAACCUAAUACCGGAUAGGUCGAAUAUAUGCGAAGCAAAUAUUCUAGAAUCCUGGACUAUGGUUAUUGUAUAAUUCAAUCCCUUUGACUCCUAAUGCCAGGAUGACUUAGAGCUCACUGUCAACCCUAUAAUUAGUAGAUCCAUUAUGUGAUUAACUUUAGAUAUCCCGUGACUCCUCACUGGGAUUACCCUGGUCAAGGUUUUGCUAAAUUAAUCACAAGAUAUUAUCUCUUAUUUGCAGAAGGGGUCAAUUCCAUCUCGAC